rnacentral:piRNA from 1 species
GAGGUUCUGUCCUACACUCCGGCU